GACGGAGGGUGCAAGCGUUGUUCGGAAUCACUGGGCGUAAAGCGCGUGUAGGCGGUUUGAUAGGUCGAAUGUGAAAGCCCGAGGCUCAACCUCGGAAGUGCAUUCGAAACUGUCAGGCUUGAGUACGGGAGAGGGAAGUGGAAUUCCUGGUGUAGAGGUGAAAUUCGUAGAUAUCAGGAGGAACACCGGUGGCGAAGGCGGCUUCCUGGACCGAUACUGACGCUGAGAAGCGAAAGCGUGGGGAGCAAACAGG
rnacentral:rRNA from 1 species